CGGCGGGUAAGUUAAGUUUAAACUGUGGGGUUCAUGUCCCCCGAUUAUGAUGUUUUCAUCUCGCCAA
rnacentral:tRNA from 1 species